CCCUUAGAUGUCCUGGGCCGCACGCGCGCUACACUGAUACGUUCAACGAGACAACCUUGGUCGAGAGGCCCGCGGUAAUCUUUUGAAAACGUAUCGUGAUAGGGAUAGAUCAUUGCAAUUAUUGAUCUUGAACGAGGAAUUCCUUGUAAACGCGAGUCAUCAGCUCGCAUUGAAUACUGUCCCUGCCCUUUGUACACACCGCCCGUCGCACCUACCGAUUGAACGUUGUGGUGAAAACUCGGGACCGUGGGACGCGUGCUUCAUUGGACGCGUCAUCGUGGGAACUUGUGUAAACCCCAUCGUUUAGAGGAAGGUGAAGUCGUAACA
rnacentral:rRNA from 1 species